AUGCAAAGCGAACGCGGCGAACUGAAACAUCUAAGUAGCUGCAGGAAAAUAAAUCAACCGAGAUUCCCAAAGUAGUGGCGAGCGAAAUGGGAAGAGCCUGCACGUUUUAGCAUGACGCAUAACAGAAUCCACUGGAAAUUGGAGCCAUAGCGGGUGAUAGCCCCGUAUGUGAAAUGCGAUGUGUGGAACUAAGCGUGCGACAAGUAGGGCGGGACACGAGAAAUCCUGUCUGAAUAUGGGGGGACCAUCCUCCAAGGCUAAAUACUCGUAAUCGACCGAUAGUGAACCAGUACCGUGAGGGAAAGGCGAAAAGAACCCCGGGAGGGGAGUGAAAUAGAUCCUGAAACCGUGUGCAUACAAACAGUAGGAGCGGACUUGUUCCGUGACUGCGUACCUUUUGUAUAAUGGGUCAGCGACUUACAUUCAGUGGCAAGGUUAACCAGAUCGGGAAGCCGUAGAGAAAUCGAGUCCGAACAGGGCGAUAGUCGCUGGGUGUAGACCCGAAACCAAGUGAUCUACUCAUGGCCAGGAUGAAGGUGCGGUAACACGCACUGGAGGUCCGAACCCACUAAUGUUGAAAAAUUAGGGGAUGAGCUGUGGGUAGGGGUGAAAGGCUAAACAAACUUGGAAAUAGCUGGUUCUCUCCGAAAACUAUUUAGGUAGUGCCUCAAGUAUCACCAUCGGGGGUAGAGCACUGUUAUGGCUAGGGGGUCAUCGCGACUUACCAAACCAUUGCAAACUCCGAAUACCGAUGAGUGCGAGCUUGGGAGACAGACGUCGGGUGCUAACGUCCGGCGUCAAGAGGGAAACAACCCAGACCGCCAGCUAAGGUCCCAAAGAUUGGCUAAGUGGAAAACGAAGUGGGAAGGCUAAAACAGUCAGGAUGUUGGCUUAGAAGCAGCCAUCAUUUAAAGAAAGCGUAAUAGCUCACUGAUCGAGUCGUCCUGCGCGGAAGAUGUAACGGGGCUAAGCCAGUCACCGAAGCUGCGGAUAUGCGCAAGCAUAUGGUAGGAGAGCGUUCUGUAAGCCUGCGAAGGUGUCUUGUAAAGGAUGCUGGAGGUAUCAGAAGUGCGAAUGCUGACAUGAGUAGCGAUAAUGGGGGUGAAAAGCCCCCACGCCGUAAGCCCAAGGUUUCCUGUUCAACGUUCAUCGGAGCAGGGUGAGUCGGCCCCUAAGGCGAGGCAGAGAUGCGUAGCUGAUGGGAAGCAGGUUAAUAUUCCUGCACCGUCGUAUGAUGCGAUGGGGGGACGGAUCGCGGAAGGUUGUCUGACUGUUGGAAUAGUCAGUUUCUGGUUCAUAGAAGGCGCUUAGGCAAAUCCGGGCGCGUAAUUCAAGGGACUGGGACGAGG
rnacentral:rRNA from 1 species